rnacentral:rRNA from 1 species
GAUGAACGCUGGCGGCGUGCUUAACACAUGCAAGUCGAACGAAGCACCUCUCCCGAAGAUUGACACAGCUUGCUGUAGAUAGAUUCAUUUGAGGUGACUGAGUGGCGGACGGGUGAGUAACGCGUGGGUAACCUGCCUCAUAGAGGGGGACAACAGUUGGAAACGACUGCUAAUACCGCAUAGUAAGAAGAAUUCGCAUGUUUUCUUCUUGAAAGAUUUAUCGCUAUGAGAUGGACCCGCGUCUGAUUAGCUAGUUGGUAAGGUAGCGGCUUACCAAGGCGGGGAGGCGUGGCCGGGAUGGGAGAGUGACAGGUCAGAUUGGGAAUGAGACCCGGACCAAUAUGGUAGGGGGGGCAGGGGUGGGGAAUACUGUGCGAUGGGGGAAGACCUGAUGCAGCGGCGCGGCGGAAGUGAAGAAGUAUUUCGGUAUGUAAAGCCCUAUGAGCAGGGAAGAUAGUGACGGUACCUGACGAAGAAGCCCCGGCUAACUACGUG